rnacentral:misc_RNA from 1 species
CAGCUUGCGUAUUCGUCCGCUCAUCACUCCUUUUCUUUGCCUUGCUUCUUCGUUUCUUUGCUUUUUACUGUUUCCGUGCUUCGCCUCGUUGCGUGCGCGUGUGCGCAGGUGCACGCCAUCGUUUCUUGUGUGCGUCUCCGUCUCCCCUCGUCUGUACGGCCUCUCUCUAUUUCGCUGUGCGUGUGUGUGUGUGUGCCGGCAGUGUAGGGGGCCUUUCGGGGUAGGUAUAUAUAGGUAUCUAUAUCUUGUUGCCCUUCACCAGCCGUGCCCUUCUCACGCUCGCCUUCGCAGUCAAGCCUGUCCACGUUACUCUCUCUCACACACACACACACAGGCAGACAGACACUCGCACACUGUUACGCCGACACUCGUCGGAUUCCGCUUCGUUCUCCUCCCUCAUCUCGCUUGAUCUGCGUCAUCUCACAUGUGAACAUCCGCGGCCCAUUCGAAAGAAGGACAAGACAGCAAACAACAUCGACGAGGAGACGCCGUCGAGCCCUCCUCCUCAUCCUCCUCCGCUGGCGCUGCCUUCGUGCACACACUCAACUCACCGACUCAUCCGCUGACGACGCCAUAGCAACGGACGACGUUCAUUGUUGGCUGCUCAACCACUUCCACGCGCGCGCGCGCUCGGACACAGUCACACACACGCACAGGAAAGACGCGCGAGGAAAGUAUGCACACCAACAAAGGACAGUCCUCAUCAUCGAGGGCCGCCGUGUCGGGUUCACCGACCAAGCCACACGAUACAGGCGUGAAUGGGCUCACCACCAGCAGCUGCGGCAAACAACGCGACCCACCGCGAGGCGCCGUCACGAACGCCGUUGAAUUCGUCUCGGACAUCCUGCGCAACCUCUACGCGCGUGUUGCGGCCAUUGCUCAGCCCUAUGCGGCAGAGCACGCGUCCUUUGUCGAGUACCAGCGUACCCUACCCGUGCGCACAGUCGUGCCGGAGCCGCCGAACACGCUGCGCGACUACAUCCGGCGUCAGCUGUGGUGCGUCGGCCGCACUUGUCUUUUCUUUUUCUUUUUUCUGUUCACGUGGCCGGUGUGGCUGACGCUGCAUCUGCUCCUGAAGCUGCUCGACGCGCAUCAGCGGCGGUUGCGGCUGCAGCAUCACCGCGCUUGGGUGCACCCAAGCGUGCCCCACGUCCGCGCCAAUGUGCACAAGCACUCGAAGGAGUUCCCGCUGGGCUCGUGGCACUUGCGCUGCGAGGAUGGGCGCCAGCGGUGGUACUUUGGCGAGCCGCUGCGCGAGGGGGAGGAGCACAACGAGCUCGCCAUGGCGCAGCUGUGUGGCUUGCACACCGUCGGCGACUAUCAUGCGCUGCUCCGCCAGCGCGCCGCAUCGGACUCGGGUGGCGGUGACGAAAAGCAAGACAGCAGGGGUAGUGGCUUCAACGGCGCCGGCGUCACCAACAGCCGCGUGCCCUGGCUGCCCGACAUCCUCCAGGAAAAAUGCUCGAAGCGGUCCUUUGUGGAGCGUUACCACAUCGGCCUCAUCCCCGCCUCGCCCCCGCAGCCGCGCACGACAUCGGAGGCGGCCAUGGACGACGGCAUCCGCUUCCUGGUCAAGCUGCAGGACCCCUUCUCGGGGCACUGGCCGAACAACUACAGCGGCUGCAUGUUCCUCGUGGCUGGAUUCGUCAUCACCAAGUACAUCGUGGCGGGAGGUGAGACAAACCGCCUGUUCCCGCCGUUCCCUGACCACCACCACGUCCGGCUGGACUCCAACGGCACGAAGCGGCGCGGCAAUGGGGGCGACAUCCCGGAACGUAUCUUGGGUGUCCCCGCCUUCGAACAUGCCGGCGAGGUGGGCUGCCGGUGCGGCGAGGCCACGCGUCAGGAGCUGAUUCGGUACAUCCGCAAUCACCAGAACCCUGAUGGCGGGUGGGGGCAGCACACGGAGGGCCACAGCACGAUGAUGGGAACGGUGCUGAACUACGUCAGCGUCCGUCUGCUGGGGGUGCCGGCGAGCGACCCGCAGGCGACGUGCGCACGCAACUGGAUCCUGGCCCACGGCGGCGCCACCAAGACGCCGAUGUGGGGCCGCGUGUGGCUGAGCAUCCUGGGCGUGUACAGCUGGGACGGCGUGAACCCAAUCCCGCCGGAGAUGAUCUUGAUGCCGGACUGGAUUCCAUUCUCGCUGGGUAAGAUGUGGUGCCACAGCCGCGUCAUCGCCAUGCCCUUCUCAUACUUCUACGGCUUGCGCUGGUCGGCGCCGGCGUUCCCGACGACGCUGGCGUUGCGCAAGGAGCUCUACACAGAGCCAUACGAUGCCAUCCCGUGGCGCAGCUUCCGCGGCGUGGCGUGCGAGCUGGACGUGUACACGCCGACCUCACCGCUGCUACGCGUCGCCAUGGGCCUGUUCGACCUCUACGAGCGGCACCCCAUCCCGUUCCUGCGGCGGUACGCGCUGGAGGAGAAUUGGCGGCACAUCGCCUACGACGACGAGAGCACGAGUUUUAUAUGUCUAGGACCUGUGAAUAAGUGGCUCAACAUGCUCGCCACGUGGGUGCGCGAGGGCGAGCACAGUGCCCGCUUCCAGAAGCACUGCCAUCGGGUGCAAGACUACUUCUACUUGGAGAACACCGGCUUGUCCAUGAGCGGGUACAACGGCUCACAGUUGUGGGACACGUCCUUUGCCGUGCAGGCGAUCUGCGCGUGCCGCCGCGAGAUGAUGUUCCCGGCGGAGAUGGAGCUGGCGCACCACUACAUCGAUGUUGCCCAGGUGCAGGCGAACCCGAUGGCGGCCGCCGACUUCUACCGCCAUCGCACGAAGGGGGCGUGGAACUUCUCUACCAGGGCGCAGGGGUGGCAGGUGUCGGACUGCACGGCGGAGGGGCUGCGGGUGCUGCUGCUCCUGCCGCAGUACGAGUUUCCAGUGCGGCGCAUAUUUGACGGCGUGGACGAGGUGCUGUCGCUGCGCAACAGCGGCUUUGGCGGCGAUGGCGGGUGGGCGUCGUAUGAGCCGACACGCGGCCCGGCGUACUGCGAGCUGCUGGACUGUGCGGAGCUCUUCAAGGACGUCAUGAUCGACUACAGCUACGUCGAAUGCAGCAGCAGCUGCAUCCACACGCUGUCACUUUUCCGCGAGCACUACCCGCACUACCGCCGCCGUGACGUGGACCGCGCCAUCAGCGAGGGUAUCGCGUAUGUACUGGGCCAGCAGCAGCCGGACGGUGGCUUCUACGGCAGCUGGGGCAUCUGCUACACGUACGCGGCGUGGCUUGUCGCCGAUGCCCUGCAGGCGUCGAAGGAGCUGCCGGACAUGGCCGUGCACCCGCACUGCGUGAAGCUCGUGGACUUCCUCCUCUCCCACCAAGGUGCCGACGGCGGCUGGAGCGAGGACGUCAGCGCAUCGGCGCGGCAGACGUGGGUGGACAGCCCGGACGGAAGCCAAGUGGUGAACACGGCUUGGGCAGUCAUGGCCAUUAUCUGCGCCGCGGGAAAGGCCGCGCACACGGAGCCGACGCGGCAGCGCAACAUCCGCAGCGCCGUGGACCGUGGGGUACAGCUCAUCAUGUCCCGCCAGCUUGCGAGCGGUGAUUGGCCGCAGGAGCGCAUCAGCGGAGUCUUCAACGGCAACAACCCGAUUCACUACCCCGGCUAUAAAAACAGCAUGACCGUGUGGGCGCUCGGCAAGUACAACAGCUGGAAGCGCGAGUAUGUGGUGGCUGCGUAGCGGUGGAUGCUGGCGGGUUGAUGCACAUGUGUGUGUGUGUGCUUAGUCAACACGGCCGUUGAUGGCACUGUCGGCGGACGCCAUCCUCAUCGUCUCUCAGCGACACACGACGGAAACACGUGAAAGGGGGGGGGAAGGGGGAGGGCGGCGCCACACAGCCUACACCAUGCAAGGCGAAAACAUAAGCUAUAUAUAAAUAUAUAUACAUAUAUUUAUACAAGCGGUCCUCCUGCUCUACAGACGCAGUCCAGCAUCAUGCGCGCAGAACAGCGCCUGCCUGCUGGCGUGCGUGCGCGCGUCUCUCGCGUCGAAUCCUCCUGCUAUUUGGUGCCUGGAAGACGGAGGGAGGGAGAGCGAGCGGGGUGGUGGCUGGGGAGGGUGAGCGCAGGGCCGCGAAAACAACCGCACACGAGGAGUGGCGAACGGGAUGAGUAUCAAAGCGAGGACAGCUGAAGAUGAGCGGGGGGCUUCGAUGGUGACGCUGACGACCCUGACUGACAUCUCUGGCCUCCUCCCUCCCUUCCUCCUCCCCUCUCGCACACAGCUCCAUGCGUGCGAGCCUCGUGCCCACUUUAGCUACACGCAGUGAGGUGUCUCUCUCUCUCUCUCUCUCACGUUCUCUCUGCGGGUCCGUGCCGACGGCGAAUGCAU